AAGGACAUGUGGAGCGCUUAGAAGUGAGAAUGCCGGUGUGAGUAGCGAAAGACGGGUGAGAAUCCCGUCCACCGAUUGACUAAGGUUUCCAGAGGAAGGCUCGUCCGCUCUGGGUUAGUCGGGUCCUAAGCUGAGGCCGACAGGCGUAGGCGAUGGAUAACAGGUUGAUAUUCCUGUACCACCUAUAAUCGUUUUAAUCGAUGGGGGGACGCAGUAGGAUAGGCGAAGCGUACGAUUGGAUUGUACGUCUAAGCAGUGAGAUUGAGUGUUAGGCAAAUCCGGCACUCUUAAGAUUGAGCUGUGAUGGGGAGAGGAAAUUGUUUCCUCGAGUCGUUGAUUUCACACUGCCGAGAAAAGCCUCUAGAUAGAGAUUAGGUGCCCGUACCGCAAACCGACACAGGUAGUCAAGAUGAGAAUUCUAAGGUGAGCGAGCGAACUCUCGUUAAGGAACUCGGCAAAAUGACCCCGUAACUUCGGGAGAAGGGGUGCUCUUUAGGGUGCAAGCCCAGAAGAGCCGCAGUGAAUAGGCCCAAGCGACUGUUUAUCAAAAACACAGGUCUCUGCUAAACCGUAAGGUGAUGUAUAGGGGCUGACGCCUGCCCGGUGCUGGAAGGUUAAGAGGAGUGGUUAGCUUCUGCGAAGCUACGAAUCGAAGCCCCAGUAAACGGCGGCCGUAACUAUAACGGUCCUAAGGUAGCGAAAUUCCUUGUCGGGUAAGUUCCGACCCGCACGAAAGGCGUAACGAUUUGGGCACUGUCUCAACGAGAGACUCGGUGAAAUCAUAGUACCUGUGAAGAUGCAGGUUACCCGCGACAGGACGGAAAGACCCCGUGGAGCUUUACUGUAGCCUGAUAUUGAAAUUCGGCACAGCUUGUACAGGAUAGGUAGGAGCCUUUGAAACGUGAGCGCUAGCUUACGUGGAGGCGUUGGUGGGAUACUACCCUAGCUGUGUUGGCUUUCUAACCCGCACCACUUAUCGUGGUGGGAGACAGUGUCAGGCGGGCAGUUUGACUGGGGCGGUCGCCUCCUAAAAGGUAACGGAGGCGCUCAAAGGUUCCCUCAGAAUGGUUGGAAAUCAUUCAUAGAGUGUAAAGGCAUAAGGGAGCUUGACUGCGAGACCUACAAGUCGAGCAGGGUCGAAAGACGGACUUAGUGAUCCGGUGGUUCCGCAUGGAAGGGCCAUCGCUCAACGGAUAAAAGCUACCCCGGGGAUAACAGGCUUAUCUCCCCCAAGAGUUCACAUCGACGGGGAGGUUUGGCACCUCGAUGUCGGCUCAUCGCAUCCUGGGGCUGUAGUCGGUCCCAAGGGUUGGGCUGUUCGCCCAUUAAAGCGGUACGCGAGCUGGGUUCAGAACGUCGUGAGACAGUUCGGUCCCUAUCCGUCGUGGGCGUAGGAAAUUUGAGAGGAGCUGUCCUUAGUACGAGAGGACCGGGAUGGACAUACCUCUGGUGUACCAGUUGUCGUGCCAACGGCAUAGCUGGGUAGCUAUGUAUGGACGGGAUAAGUGCUGAAAGCAUCUAAGCAUGAAGCCCCCCUCAAGAUGAGAUUUCCCAACUUCGGUUAUAAGAUCCCUCAGAGAUGAUGAGGUUAAUAGGUUCGAGGUGGAAGCGUGGUGACACGUGGAGCUGACGAAUACUAAUCGAUCGAAGACUUAAUCAA
rnacentral:rRNA from 1 species